UACGAGAGCCUCGAGCGUUAUCCGGAAUUAUUGGGCGUAAAGGGUGCGUAGGUUGUUCUGUUAGUCUUUUGUUAAAGCCCCGAGCUUAACUCGGGAUCCGCAAAAGAAACGGCAGGACUUGAAAGUGUGAGAGGCGGACGGAACUCAUGGUGUAGGGGUGAAAUCCGUUGAUAUCAUGGGGAACACCAAAUGCGAAGGCAGUACGCUGGCGCAUAUUUGACACUGAAGUACGAAAGCGUGGGUAGCGAAUGGG
rnacentral:rRNA from 1 species